rnacentral:rRNA from 1 species
AACGAACGCUGGCGGCAGGCCUAACACAUGCAAGUCGAGCGCGCUCUUCGGAGUGAGCGGCGGACGGGUUAGUAACGCGUGGGAACGUACCCAGAUCUAAGGAAUAGCCACUGGAAACGGUGAGUAAUACCUUAUACGCCCUUCGGGGGAAAGAUUUAUCGGAUUCGGAUCAGCCCGCGUUAGAUUAGAUAGUUGGUGGGGUAACGGCCUACCAAGUCUACGAUCUAUAGCUGGUUUUAGAGGAUGAUCAGCAACACUGGGACUGAGACACGGCCCAGACUCCUACGGGAGGCAGCAGUGGGGAAUCUUGGACAAUGGCGCAAGCCUGAUCCAGCCAUGCCGCGUGAGUGAUGAAGGCCUUAGGGUCGUAAAGCUCUUUCGCCAGAGAUGAUAAUGACAGUAUCUGGUAAAGAAACCCCGGCU